AUGGUGAGGGCAGUGGUGGUGGCCGUGCUGCUGGUCCAGUGCUGCAGCGUGGUCCUCGCGGCGAGGCUGCUCGAGGGAGACGGCGGUUGGCUGCACGGCGGCGUUGGCGCCGCUGGGGCGCUUAUCAUGCAGAUCCUGCCCAGCGGCAGCCCCGGGGUAGGAACACCCAACCCGUACACCCACGACCCCAUCAACAACAACCCGCCUGGCCAAUGA
rnacentral:rRNA from 1 species